AUACGUAGGGGGCGAGCGUUGUCCGGAAUGACUGGGCGUAAAGGGCGUGUAGGCGGUUGUCUAAGUCUGGAGUGAAAGUCCUGCUUUCAAGGUGGGAAUAGCUUUGGAUACUGGAUGACUUGAGUGCGGAAGAGGUAAGUGGAAUUCCCAGUGUAGCGGUGAAAUGCGUAGAGAUUGGGAGGAACACCAGGGGCGAAGGCGACUUACUGGGCCGGAACUGACGCUGAGGCGCGAAAGCGUGGGGAGCGAACAGGAUUAGAUACCCUGGUAGUCCACGCGGUAAACGAUGAAUGCUAGGUGUUGCGGGUAUCGACCCCUGCAGUGCCGGAGUAAACACAGUAAGCAUUCCGCCUGGGGAGUACGGUCGCAAGAUUAAAACUCAAAGGAAUUGACGGGG
rnacentral:rRNA from 1 species